rnacentral:lncRNA from 1 species
CAAUCUGUUCACCUUAUAUUAAUUUGUACAUGAGUAUAUGUGACUUUGGAGCAUUUUCUCUAAUUUGUAUAUUGUUAAACUCUUUGAGGACAAGGAGUCUGAUUGUACUUAGAUCUUUAUACCUCAGUUUCUCUUUAUCCCAUAUUUUUAUUUUGACAGUUGGCAAUGACAGAUAAGACUGGAAUGUGGUGCUCUAAACUUCAGGAUACCUCUCCAGAGAAUGGAGAAAAGUCUUCAGAAAGUCUUGUCUAAAUUCGAAUUGAGAAGCUGCCACAGUUAAUGGCUUCCAGGAAACAAGGUAAAUUAGAGCCCAAUGUUCUUAUCUUACCUAUAAUUGAAUUGCAUAGUAGUUGUACUUUUCUUACUUCCUUUUCUUUAAACCUAAACUCUUUAAUUACAUCUUUACAUGACAGCUAGUUUUAAAAUUUUUCCUUUCUUUUCUGCUGCAAAAAAAAAAAAUGUUUUUAUAUUGGGUAUUUCCCAGCACCAUUUGGCUGAUACCAGCCUAUAAUAGAUAAAAAUCUAUUAUAGUGCAGACUUAAACUAGGUUAUAAAUUAUCCUUUUCUGAAUGAAUAUGGAUCAUUUCCUAUUAAUUGUAUUUCUAUAAACAUGUUUCAAUGCCAUGGUCUGCAUAGCAUACUGCACAACUAUUGUUUGGGAUGUUAUUGUAUUUUAGUCCUCCUAAUUUACCUGUUUUGUGUCAGAUUUCCAGAGGCUAGGUAAUAUUGCAUUGCUCCAGACCCCACUUUUCCUGCCUCUGACUUUCUAGGUACUGGGAUUUCCCAAGAAGCAAUAGUUGAACCUACUCUGGUCUCUGCCUUUAGAGUUGCACAGAAGUCACAGAGCAAUGUGUAUGUGAAAUGUCAACAGAGACUAUGGCUCAUUCUUGGAAGCAACCAUCUGCAUCAUCAUCAAAAAUUAUUCGUUAGAUGCCCAUCUGUUCAUGGAUUUCAACAAUAUCAGCAGACUACCAUGAGAAACACUUUCUUGACCCCAAUGCUGGAUGAAACAGUCCCUAAUUGUGAUAAGGAAACUGAGAAAAAGAGAAAUUAAGUGAUUUGCCCAAGGUCAAA